rnacentral:rRNA from 1 species
GACGAACGCUGGCGGCGUGCUUAACACAUGCAAGUCGAAUGGAAAGGCCCUGCUUUUGUGGGGUGCUCGAGUGGCGAACGGGUGAGUAACACGUGAGUAACCUGCCCUUGACUUUGGGAUAACUUCAGGAAACUGGGGCUAAUACCGGAUAGGAGCUCCUGCUGCAUGGUGGGGGUUGGAAAGUUUCGGCGGUUGGGGAUGGAUUCGCGGCUUAUCAGCUUGUUGGUGGGGUAGUGGCUUACCAAGGCUUUGACGGGUAGCCGGCCUGAGAGGGUGACCGGCCACAUUGGGACUGAGAUACGGCCCAGACUCCUACGGGAGGCAGCAGUGGGGAAUAUUGCACAAUGGGCGGAAGCCUGAUGCAGCAACGCCGCGUGCGGGAUGACGGCCUUCGGGUUGUAAACCGCUUUCGCCUGUGACGAAGCGUGAGUGACGGUAAUGGGUAAAGAAGCACCGGCUAACUACGUG